rnacentral:rRNA from 1 species
AUACGUAGGUGGCGAGCGUUAUCCGGAUUUACUGGGCGUAAAGCGUACGUAGGCGGUUCGGCAAGUCUGUCGUGAAAUCUCCCGGCUCAACUGGGAGCGGUCGAUGGAAACUGCCGGACUUGAGGGACGUAGAGGUGAGCGGAAUUCCCGGUGUAGUGGUGAAAUGCGUAGAUAUCGGGAGGAACACCAGUGGCGAAAGCGGCUCACUAGGCGUUACCUGACGCUGAGGUACGAAAGCGUGGGGAGCGAACCGGAUUAGAUACCCGGGUAGUCC